GGAGCUUGGUUGGCAGAGCGUGAGGCUCUUAAUCGCAUGGGUCAUGGGUUUGAGCCCCAUGUUGGGCA